CCUACGGGAGGCAGCAGUGGGGAAUUUUGGACAAUGGGCGCAAGCCUGAUCCAGCCAUGCCGCGUGCAGGAUGAAGGCCUUCGGGUUGUAAACUGCUUUUGUACGGAACGAAAAGGUCUUUUUAAUAAAGAGGGCCCAUGACGGUACCGUAAGAAUAAGCACCGGCUAACUACGUGCCAGCAGCCGCGGUAAUACGUAGGGUGCAAGCGUUAAUCGGAAUUACUGGGCGUAAAGCGUGCGCAGGCGGUAAUGUAAGACAGAUGUGAAAUCCCCGGGCUCAACCUGGGAACUGCAUUUGUGACUGCAUUGCUGGAGUGCGGCAGAGGGGGAUGGAAUUCCGCGUGUAGCAGUGAAAUGCGUAGAUAUGCGGAGGAACACCGAUGGCGAAGGCAAUCCCCUGGGCCUGCACUGACGCUCAUGCACGAAAGCGUGGGGAGCAAACAGGAUUAGAUACCCUGGUAGUCCACGCCCUAAACGAUGUCAACUGGUUGUUGGGUCUUCAUUGUACUCAGUAACGAAGACUACGCGUGAGUAGACCGCCGUGGGAGGUACGGCCGCGAGGUAGUAAACGUUAAAGGUAAAGUUAGACGGCGUGAGACGUAGACCGACGGACGACGACGAGGGGAGGAGG
rnacentral:rRNA from 1 species